GAUGAACGCUAGCGGCAGGCCUAACACAUGCAAGUCGAGGGGCAGCACAGAAACAGCAAUGUUUUGGUGGCGACCGGCGGACGGGUGCGUAACGCGUGUACAACCUACCUUUAACAGGGGGAUAACGGAGAGAAAUUUCCACUAAUACCCCAUAACAUCGAUCAAGGCAUCUUGAUUGGUUGAAAACUCCGGUGGUUAAAGAUGGGCAUGCGUUGUAUUAGGUAGUUGGUGAGGUAAUGGCUAACCAAGCCUACGAUACAUAGGGGGACUGAGAGGUUAGCCCCCCACACUGGUACUGAGACACGGACCAGACUCCUACGGGAGGCAGCAGUGAGGAAUAUUGGUCAAUGGGGGCAACCCUGAGCCAGCCAUGCCGCGUGCAGGAAGACGGCUCUAUGAGUUGUAAACUGCUUUUAAACAGGGGUAAAGCACAGUAUGUAUACUGUGUUGAAGGUACUGUAAGAAUAAGGAUCGGCUAACUCCGUGCCAGCCGCCGCGGUAA
rnacentral:rRNA from 1 species